AUUCAUCUGACAAGUCCAAAAUAGAAUGUAACGCACGUCCUGGAU
rfam:Schistosoma mansoni, Puerto Rico, WGS project CABG01000000 data, contig: 0034